UACGGAAGGCAGCAGUGGGGAAUAUUGCACAAUGGGCGCAAGCCUGAUGCAGCCAUGCCGCGUGUAUGAAGAAGGCCUUCGGGUUGUAAAGUACUUUCAGCGGGGAGGAAGGCGGUGAAGUUAAUAGCUUCACCGAUUGACGUUACCCGCAGAAGAAGCACCGGCUAACUCCGUGCCAGCAGCCGCGGUAAUACGGAGGGUGCAAGCGUUAAUCGGAAUUACUGGGCGUAAAGCGCACGCAGGCGGUCUGUCAAGUCGGAUGUGAAAUCCCCGGGCUUAACCUGGGAACUGCAUUCGAAACUGGCAGGCUAGAGUCUUGUAGAGGGGGUAGAAUUCCAGGUGUAGCGGUGAAAUGCGUAGAGAUCUGGAGGAAUCCGGUGGCGAAGGCGGCCCCUGGGACAAAGCUGACGCUCAGGUGCGAAAGCGUGGGGAGCAAACGAGGAUUAGGAUACC
rnacentral:rRNA from 1 species